rnacentral:rRNA from 1 species
AUUGAACGCUGGCGGCAGGCCUAACACAUGCAAGUCGAGCGAGCGGCGGACGGGUGAGUAAUGUCUGGGAAACUGAGUGAUGGAGGGGGAUAACUACUGGAAACGGUAGCUAAUACCGCAUACCAUCAGAUGGGCCCAGAUGGGAUUGGCUAGUAGGUGGGGCAACGGCUCCCCUGGGCUACGAUCCCUAGCUGGGCUGAGAGGAUGACCAGCCACACUGGAACUGAGACACGGUCCAGACUCCUACGGGAGGCAGCAGUGGGGAAUAUUGCACAAUGGGCGCAAGCCUGAUGCAGCCAUGCCGCGUGUAUGAAGAAGGCCUUCGGGUUGUAAAGUACUUUCAGCGGGGAGGCGUUACCCGCAGAAGAAGCACCGGCUAACUCCGUGCCAGCCGCCGCGGUAAUUC